UACGAAGGGGGCUAGCGUUGCUCGGAAUCACUGGGCGUAAAGCGCACGUAGGCGGAUCUUUAAGUCAGGGGUGAAAUCCUGGAGCUCAACUCCAGAACUGCCUUUGAUACUGAUGAGCUUGAGUUCGGGAGAGGUGAGUGGAACUGCGAGUGUAGAGGUGAAAUUCGUAGAUAUUCGCAAGAACACCAGUGGCGAAGGCGGCUCACUGGCCCGAUACUGACGCUGAGGUGCGAAAGCGUGGGGAGCAAACAGG
rnacentral:rRNA from 1 species